rnacentral:ribozyme from 1 species
UGUCAUCCCGUUACGUAGGGAGGGGUCCGUAGCCAUUUUGGCUCAAGGGU